UGCUGUUAGGGCUUUUAUGGUUCCUCUUCUACGUUUGCACACUACUAAAAAUUUGACCGCAGUGUAUGUUAUCCGGAAAAUUUAAAACAAUUUAAUUUUUAAGAUUCUUUUAUUUUGAAUCAUAUUUAUUUCUUGGUAUUUGGCUUUUUGAUUUUAGUACCACAACAAAACGUACCAAUUCAGCCAAGCUGUUUGGCAAUUGUGACAUGACAAACCUAUAUAAUAUAUUGCCGUCAUAAUAUGCACGAAAAUCUAAACAUUCAGAAAAAUAUAUGUAUGUAUAUACGCAAUAAUACAAAAGCAACCAAUUUAUAUAGUAUACUAAUUUUGCUACAGUUAUAUCGAACAAACUUACACAUUUGUACGAAUCCCAUGGGAACUUUAAAUACAUAAGUAACACAAAAUUAAAAUCUGAUAUCGCCCAUUGUAAAAUUAUGUGUUUAUAUUGGAGUACUUCAAGGACGGGCUGAGUUUUAUAUUUUCAUAGCCAUUAGUAAAGCAAAAAUAAUAGAUUACAUAUGUAUAUAAUUACAAAGUGAAUUUCGCAAAUAUGUGGAUGUUUAUGAAUAACAAAAUCGUGAUCAUUCUCUCAACAGAUGAGUCAAGGCAAAUGUCUACCGUUUCUGUACCCACAAGUGGAGUCAUACAAGCGUUGAACUAGGAAGUGAAAAUCAAGAGGAAGCACCAAAAAAUAUCAUGUAAUCAAUAAGUGACUUAAAUAUAAAAGGAUUAUUAAAAACAAAUGAUUAUUGGAUAAAUACAUUACUGUAGAUAAAUAUGCACACAUAUUUUUAACCAUUACGGUUUUUUAAUAAUAAUGCAUCAUGAUUGGUAAAAAUUUA